UUGAGAGAAGGGAUGACACAGUAGGAUAAGCUAAGCACACUGUUGGUUAUGUGUGCCCAAGCAUUGAGGCAGUCAAAGUAGGCAAAUCCGCUUUGAUAAUGCUGGGAUGUGAUGGGGAGCGAAAUUUAGUAGCGAAGUAGCUGAUUUCACACUGUCAAGAAAAGUCUCUAUCGAGGUUAAAGGUACCCGUACCGCAAACCGACACAGGUGGGUGAGGAGAGUAUCCUAAGGCCAGCGAGAGAACUGUUGUUAAGGAACUCGGCAAAAUGACCCCGUAACUUAGGGAUAAGGGGUGCCACCAUCAGGUGGCCGCAGAGAAUAGGCCCAAGCGACUGUUUACCAAAAACAUAGGUUUCUGCUAAGUCGCAAGACGAUGUAUAGGAGCUGACGCCUGCCCGGUGCUGGAAGGUUAAGGGGAUCUGUUAGAGCAAUCGAAGCAGUGAACUUAAGCCCCAGUAAACGGCGGCCGUAACUAUAACGGUCCUAAGGUAGCGAAAUUCCUUGUCGGGUAAGUUCCGACCCGCACGAAAGGCGUAACGAUUUGGGCACUGUCUCA
rnacentral:rRNA from 1 species